CAGUCGCCGCGGUAAUACGUAGGGUGCGAGCGUUAAUCGGAAUUACUGGGCGUAAAGCGUGCGCAGGCGGUUUUGUAAGACAGGCGUGAAAUCCCCGGGCUCAACCUGGGAAUGGCGCUUGUGACUGCAAAGCUAGAGUGCGGCAGAGGGGGAUGGAAUUCCGCGUGUAGCAGUGAAAUGCGUAGAUAUGCGGAGGAACACCGAUGGCGAAGGCAAUCCCCUGGGCCUGCACUGACGCUCAUGCACGAAAGCGUGGGGAGCAAACAGGAUUAGAUACCCCCGUAGUCCCUGUCUCUUAUAA
rnacentral:rRNA from 1 species